rnacentral:snoRNA from 1 species
UUCCAUUGUUUCAUGUCAGGAUGUCUUCUCGGCGUACUUUAUUGUCGCCAUGCAACACGAAGAGGUCUGUUACAACUUUGGUAGAUCGAGUAUCCCGCUUUUGAUUCCGGCACGUUUUGUGCCGGAUAUCUUUCGUUCAUUUCGUCGUUUUGACGAGGAACAACCUUUGGGGUUUUAAUGUUUCGUUUUGAGUUGAGCUUCGAGGAUGGCGCCUUCUUGGCGGAUGCAUCAAAUCAAUUAUCUCGAAUUUCUUAGUAACGCUUCAUACAUCC